GGACUACUCGGGUAUCUAAUCCCGUUCGCUCCCCUAGCUUUCGCGCCUCAGCGUCAGAAGAGGUCCAGCACGUCGCUUUCGCCACCGGCGUUCCUUCCGAUAUCAACGCAUUUCACCGCUCCACCGGAAGUUCCACAUGCCCCUACCUCCCUCAAGACAACCAGUAUCAGGGGCUGUUUUCCGGUUGAGCCGAAAGAUUUCACCCCUGACUUGAUCGCCCGCCUACGCGCCCUUUAAGCCCAGUGAUUCCGAACAACGUUUGCACGGUUCGUCUUACCGCGGCUGCUGGCAC
rnacentral:rRNA from 1 species